GAGUUUGAUCCUGGCUCAGAACGUACGCUGGCGGCACGCCUAACACAUGCAAGUCGAGCGGGGUAGCAAUACCUAGCGGCAGACGGGUGCGUAACAUGUGGGAAUCUGCCUUUUGGUUCGGAACAACAUGGGGAAACCUGUGCUAAUACCGGAUAAGUCCUAACGGAGAAAGUUUUAAUGCCAAAAGAUGAGCCCGCAUUUGAUUAGCUUGUUGGUGAGGUAAAAGCUCACCAAGGCUAUAAUCAAUAGCUGAUUUGAGAGGAUGAUCAGCCACACUGGGACUGAGAUACGGCCCAGACUCCUACGGGAGGCAGCAGUGGGGAAUCUUGCACAAUGGGCGAAAGCCUGAUGCAGCGAUGCCGCGUGAGUGAAGAAGGCCUUUGGGUUGUAAAGCUCUUUUGUCGGGAAAGAUAAUGACUGUACCCGAAGAAUAAGGUCCGGCUAACUUCGUGCCAGCAGCCGCGGUAAUACGAAGGGACCUAGCGUAGUUCGGAAUUACUGGGCGUAAAGAGUAUGUAGGCGGCUAGAUAAGUUAAUUGUGAAAGCCCAAAGCUUAACUUUGGAACUGCAAUUAAAACUAUUUAGCUGGAGUAUGAUAGAGGAAAGCGGAAUACAUAGUGUAGAGGUGAAAU
rnacentral:rRNA from 1 species